rnacentral:lncRNA from 1 species
AAGCACGUAAGUGGUUAAUUUGGUUAUGAUGUCUCAAAUUGUAAGGUUAUGUUUUCUAAUAAAUGUUAAAAAUCGAUAAUAUACCAUUCUAUUUAAACGUUUUAAGAGUUUUCAAUGGUUAUAGGCGUAUCUGGAUACUAUUGCAGCUGCGAGUCCACUGUAUUAUCAAUAUACCAAUUGAUUAAAAAUAUGUUAAAAACAUUAAAUAACUAAUUUAUUCUUACAUAUAAAAAAUUAAUAUACCAUACAUACUAAUUUGUAUUUACAAAAGUUUUGAUUUAUUAACACUAAAAACUAUUAUUUUCUAAUGUAUUAAAAACAUCCAGUCUUACAGAUAUUAUUGUUUAGGUCAGAAUAGAUGAUAACCAACUUUUGGAUCUCAUAAUUUCGGUAAAGAUCCAAGGCAAACAUGUAAAUCUAAAAUCAACGAUCGAUAACGGUCAUGGAACUAAACGAACAAAAAAAAAACGAAGUAGUUUUGAAUACAUAC